rnacentral:rRNA from 1 species
AUUGAACGCUGGCGGCAUGCUUUACACAUGCAAGUCGAACGGGCCGGGGGCAACUCCGGUCAGUGGCGAACGGGUGAGUAAUGCAUCGGAACGUAUCCCGUAGUGGGGGAUAACCCAGCGAAAGCUGGGCUAAUACCGCAUAUGCUCUAUGGAGGAAAGUGGGGGACCGCGAGGCCUCACGCUAUGGGAGCGGCCGAUGUCCGAUUAGCUAGUUGGUGGGGUAAUGGCCACCAAGGCGACGAUCGGUAGCUGGUCUGAGAGGAUGAUCAGCCACACUGGGACUGAGACACGGCCCAGACUCCUACGGGAGGCAGCAGUGGGGAAUUUUGGACAAUGGGGGCAACCCUGAUCCAGCCAUGCCGCGUGCGGGAAGAAGGCCU